AUUGAACGCUGGCGGCAUGCCUUACACAUGCAAGUCGAACGGCAGCACGGGAGCAAUCCUGGUGGCGAGUGGCGAACGGGUGAGUAAUACAUCGGAACGUGCCCAGUAGUGGGGGAUAGCCCGGCGAAAGCCGGAUUAAUACCGCAUACGACCUACGGGUGAAAGCGGGGGAUCGCAAGACCUCGCGCUAUUGGAGCGGCCGAUGGCAGAUUAGGUAGUUGGUGAGGUAAAGGCUCACCAAGCCAACGAUCUGUAGCUGGUCUGAGAGGACGACCAGCCACACUGGGACUGAGACACGGCCCAGACUCCUACGGGAGGCAGCAGUGGGGAAUUUUGGACAAUGGGCGCAAGCCUGAUCCAGCCAUGCCGCGUGC
rnacentral:rRNA from 1 species